UGUAGGAGCCGGCUUGCUGGCGAUAGCGGUGUGUCAGUCAACUUGUUUAUUGACUGAAUGGACGCUAUCGCCAGCAAGCCGGCUCCUACA
rnacentral:misc_RNA from 1 species